ACUACAUAUAUUAAACCUUCCAAACUACCUCCAUUUCUUCAUUUAUCAACUAAACAAAAUCUGUUUCCUUAUUACAUUUAAAGGUCUUCUACCUUUAAAUUGUUUUCCUGCAGUGUGGCAAAAUUUUUGGUAUCAUGAAGGAGGUGGCGAACUUUUGAGGCAUCUGAACAAAUUUCCUCAAAAUAGGUGCUCUCCCCAAAUCCCCAAAUCCAACACCAGUGAUUUUAGCCAUGUAAGUUAUUUUGAUACCUUUUUUUAACUCUUCAAUCUAUCCAUAGAGGUUGUCGAAUUGCUCUAGGGCUGGUGUAGCCUUAAGUUGUACUCCAAUUUGAUAUUGUUGCUAUAGUCUGCACAUUAGCUUUUGUUUGAUAUUUGUUAUAAAUACUAGUUGCUUGUCUUUUGGCGGGGUAAUAAAAUAGGUUAUAUUUAAGAACUACUCAAAACAACGCAAGUAGUUGUUGUUCUUCCCUCAAUACUCAAAACAACAAAAGUAGUCUUCUUGUUUAAUAUUUGUUAUAAAUACUAGUUUGCUUCAGUAUCCAAUAGUGCACGCUCAUGUUGUGAAAUCAAAACCAUAUGUGAAAUCACGCCUGAAGUGCUUGCAUUGUGGAUUGGAAUCUUUUUUUGUUGUUCAUCUUUUGUCAUUUGAAUUACUGUCUUAGGACUGUUUUCAAUUAGCAGCAGUUAUCCUGGAUUUGGUGAUGCUUCAUGUCUAUCCCAAAUGGCAGCAGGAUUGUUCACAAUUUGCUGUUGUUGCUGCCCAGAUUUCUUUUCUGUUGCAUUUGCCAUCAAGCUAGUACC
rnacentral:lncRNA from 1 species